GCCCUCAUGGCUUAGUGGUACAGCGUCGCACUCGUACACAUGCGUAAUGCGAAGAUCGGCGGUUCGAUUCCGCCUGAGGGCA